rnacentral:rRNA from 1 species
UACGUAGGGUGCAAGCGUUGUCCGGAAUUAUUGGGCGUAAAGAGCUCGUAGGUGGUGUGUCGCGUCGGUCGUGAAAACUUGGGGCUUAACCCUGAGCUUGCGGUCGAUACGGGCAUCACUGGAGUUCGGCAGGGGAGACUGGAAUUCCUGGUGUAGCGGUGAAAUGCGCAGAUAUCAGGAGGAACACCGGUGGCGAAGGCGGGUCUCUGGGCCGAUACUGACGCUGAGGAGCGAAAGCGUGGGGAGCGAACAGG